rnacentral:rRNA from 1 species
AGCAGCCGCGGUAAUUCCAGCCCCAAUAGCGUAUAUUAAAGUUGUUGCAGUUAAAAAGCUCGUAGUUGAAUUUCGGGGUUAGUAGGUUGGUCAUGCCUCUGGUAUGUACUGGUCUCACUGAUUCCUCCUUCCUGAUGAGCCGUAAUGCCAUUAAUUUGGUGUUGCGGGGAAUUUGGACUGUUACUUUGAAAAAUUAGAGUGUUUAAAGCAAGCUAACGCUUGAAUACAUUAGCAUGGAAUAAUGAAAUAGGACGUUCGAUCCUAUUUUGUUGGUUUCUAGGAUUGACGUAAUGAUUAAUAGGGAUAGUUGGGGGCAUUAGUAUUCAAUUGUCAGAGGUGAAAUUCUUGGAUUUAUUGAAGACUAACUACUGCGAAAGCAUUUGCCAAGGAUGUUUUCAUUAAUCAAGAACGAAAGUUAGGGGAUCGAAGACGAUCAGAUACCGUCGUAGUCUUAACCAUAAACUAUGCCGACUAGGGAUCGGAUGAUGUUAAUUUUUAAUGUACUCAUUCGGCGCCUUAA